UGUGGCUGCUGGAUUUCAAGACAAAACUUGCAGAAUGACUUAAAAGCUGUGCAGCUACCAAGAUGACAAUGACAGGUGCCUACCGGAGGCCUUUAGAUAGACUCUCUGUAGAAUAAUUUGAACUGCUGAUCACAGCUAUGAACCUCUUCAGCUGGAGUAACCAGAGCUGUCUUCGUCCUUUACCCCCUCACAGUGGUUAGGGGUGCAUAGCCAUUAGUGGUGAGGGCUUCCUGGAAAAGUCAGGAUGGAUCACCAUGGACCUACAGAAACAUAUCUAUCCCCAGAGUCUGAGCAGCUGUAAGAGCAUCCAAAGGAUGGCUGAGGAGUGGUAGGCCCAGCCACUGCCUGACACAUAUUGUUUGAGCCAGUAUAUACAUGAC